rnacentral:rRNA from 1 species
UAAGUAUAUAAAGAAACUAUUAUGGAAUUUAUGCCAUGUAUCAAAGAGAAAUAUUUAUAUCCAUAGGUAAUAAACUCCUAUAUUUUUAACUCUGGGGCCUAUUUCAUUAGCCCAAGCACAAAGGGACUGAUUGAAACCCUGGGUUAAUAACCUUAUUUCAGGCUGCGCUAUUUAUAAAUAUGCUAAAGCUCUUUAUUUUGAAGUUUAUUUAAGAAUUGUAAACUUACUAUUUACUAUAAAAUAAUUAUGAAAAUUGUCUUGCUGGGCCUCCAGUAACGCACAAAUUUUCAUAUCUUAGAAAUUAAGGGAGCUGCUAUCUCUCAGAUUGUUUGCUUAUUGCUUUAUAAAGUCGCAAAGUAAACUGUGGGCAAAGCAGAAUAUUGGGGGUAACUUCCUAUAAGUUACAUAAGCUCUAAGAGAAAUCUAAUCUCUAAACGAAGUGAAUUGAAAUAUCUUAGUAACUUCAGGAAAAUAAAUCAAAAGAGAUUCUAUGAAUAACGUGAGUGAAAAUAGAGUAGCCUAUAAAGUAGAACGGUACAAAAACUGUUUAAAUAAUGGGGAACCUUCCUCAAAGGCUAAAUAUGAUACAUGAGCGAUAGUGAAAAGUACCAUGAGGGAACUUAAACGAAAAUAGUAGUUUUAUAAGCAGUUCGAUAAAAAGAACGUACCUUUUGCAUAAUGGGUCACCAAGUUAACGUUAGAUGCGAGCAUAUGCGUAGUUAAACCGGACGUUAAAAUAACGAAACAGUGUCUAAGUUAGACCCGAAGCACGGUGAUUUUACCAUAGUCAGGAUUAUAAAAGUCCGAACGGGUGAUUGUAGCAUAAAUCUCCGAAGAACUGUGGUAGGUGUAGUGAAAGACAACACUGACUGUGAUAGCUGGUUUUCUGCGAAACCUAUAAUAGUAGGCAAUUUAAGUAAAUAUCUUAGCAGGUACAUAAUUUAAUCUCAGACAAGAUGUGUAAACGUUUUAUUUUGUACAAAUUGGGGGAUCAUGAAGAUUUUAUCAGUGAGUAUGUAGACUCGGAAUGGCAAAGAUAUAUCUUGAAUUAUCAGACAUAGAAUGAUAAGGUUGUAUGUCAAAAGGGAAACAGCCCUGAACAAGAGUUAAGGUUCCUAAAUUAUUAGUUAAGUGAAAUUAAGAAGGUUUUAAUUCAAGUCGGCAAGGAGAUAGGCUUAGAAGCAGCCAUAAUUUUAUGACCUCGUAAUAGAGCGCUUGUUAAGCUAUAAAAGCAUCGAAAAUUUAACGGAUCUAAACAAUAUACCGAAACCUUGUUAAAUGUUAGUAGAUAGGGCGUUUGGGGUAGCAGAACGUUGAGUAAAUAAUGGAUUUUAUUUUUUUUAAAUAGAAUUAUAAUAAUUUAACUCAAGUGAGAAUGGUGACAUGAGUAACUAAAAGAAAAUUUUCCGCCUUAAGCUUAUGGAUAUAAUUAAGUAACGGCCUCUAAGUUUAUAUUAUCUAAAGAUUUAAACGAUGAGAAAAUCUUUUUUACUAAGGACAACAUUUUAGUCUAAAAUGUGCUGGAAAAAUAGUAAAUAUAUUUGAUAUCUAAUAACAAAAUAUAUAUGUUAUCUAAGAACAAAUGAACAAAACCGUACCUAGAAUCUGAAAAAAGUAAGCUAGUAGAGAAUACGAAGGCGUAAAUGAGCUAACAAUCAAAAGGAACUCGGCAAAUUGACUACCGUAACUUCGGAAUAAGGAGGGCUCAAUUCUUGAUUAAUAUCAAGUAAAAAGGAAGAAGCAUAAAAUGAUGUUGUACGACUGUUUAAUUAAAACACAGCACUUUGCUGAAAGAUAAAAAAAUCUAAGUAUAAAGUGUGAAAUCUGCCCGGUGCCGGCUUUGGUUAACAGAGAUAAUUAAAUAUACUAUUAUUUGACGUCGACGGAAACCCCGGUUAAAGGCGGCCUUAACGUGAGGGUCCUAAGGUAGCGAAAUGCCUUGGCCGUUAAAUGCGGUCUUGCAUGAAUGGUGUAACGAUACAACAGCUGUCUCUAUGAUUGACUCAGUGAAAUUGGAAUAGCUGUGCAGAUACAGCUUACCUCUAGUUAGACGAGAGACCCUAUGCAGCUUUACUGUCACUAAUUAUAGAGUAUGUUAGAGAAUUCCCAGAUUAUAAGGUAAUUGACAAUGUGACUAUGUGAAUCCUUUAUUUAUCUUUCAUAUGAAUGAAUUGGUUUAGGAUUAUAAAGAAGUUAAUAUUAAUCUGGCUUUACUGAGUCCUUUUUUUUUAGCUAGCCCCUAAUCCCGAAGGGGAUACGGGACCAGGAAGCUAAAAAAAAAACAAAAAGAUUAUAGAAACAAUAUAAUUUAUAAUAGUAAAUCAACCUAAUUCAGUUUACUAUUUUUAAUAGUAAGUGACCUUUGGUAAGGAACUAUCGCUAGGAGACAGUUUAUGUGGGGCACAGACCCUGUAAAGAGUAAACAGGAGUGUCUAAUAAUUUAUAAUUAUUUUGUUUGCUAUUUUGAGUAGUUUAACUAUUUUUAAUCAUAUAUAAUUAUUUAUAUUUGCUGGGGCAUGCAUGCUUCUUUGGGGUACAGAAGUAUGCAGCCCAUUAUACACUAAAUAUAUUUAAGUUUAAUUUAGGUAGGAUUUUAACUAUGUAGAAAUUAGAGAUAAUUGAAAAUAUUAUGUAAAUUUUAAGGCUGUGCUAUCUUUUUAUAAAUAUGCUAAAGCUUAUAUUAAAGUUUUCUAAUAUUUUAGAGCUAUUUUUUUGUCUUGCUAUUGCUGCAUGUUUCUACGAAGUAAGCAGCGCUAUUUUUUUUUAAUAGCGUGCAUGUUUCACUAUUUUUUACUUAUUUUAUUAUUUUGGCUGUUUCUACGCAGUGUUUCACACUGCUAGAAACAGCCAGAAAUAACUAAAAUAAUAAAAAAAUGAACAGCAGAAAAAUGCUGCUAGAAAAAAGGAAUAGUUAUGUUUUGAAUAUCUAAAAAGCUCAACGGCUAAAUCUUGCCUUACUGUUUGAUUAUCUACAAAUCUUACAGUUGCGUAAGCAGGGCAUAGGAUCACAAGAUGCAAUAAGGAUAGAUCUUGGAUUAUUGGAAAAGCUACGCUAGGG